GACAUUCAGCAAAACUGAACUCUCAAUAUAGGAAAAUGCAUUUGGUAAUUGAACACCAAACUAUUUUUGGUCAAGAGCAUUUAUUGUUGAAUCUACAACUUAUUGGAAGUCAGCCGUUUUUGGAAUACAGAGAUACAGUAAGCAUCACAGGAUAUACUCAGAUCCUUUCCCUUCCUGGAUCUUUUGGACUAUGGGAGAAGAACUGGAACAGGGUAUGUCUGCUGAUCGGGAAAUGCACUGAGAUUUCUCUUACAGACUUAGAUUCUAAUUUCAUUUCUAAUUGGAAUGGCUCCCAGUACUCUCCAAGGCCUGUCUAAAUGACUACAAGAUACUGGGUGCUCCACAUCUGUGCAACAUCAGCUGGAGUCCAGAUGCCUUUUCCCCUAGUGCAUUGCACAGAGCAGACCCAACCCUGUCUGUGAAGAGAUCCUCUCUCUUUUGGUCCUCCAAGAUGCCAGCAUUCAAUCAAGACAUGAAAUUUAUUUUCUGAGUCAGAGACCUGUGAAAUUUGCAUCAAAUUCUUAAAAGUGUCAUUCUGGGUAAAUAUUCAUGAAACACACCUGAACAAACUAUCAUCACUCCUUCAGGAGUUUCACCAUUAAGAGAAGGCAGAUAUCUGAAGUGUGCUCUUGGUAAUACCAUCUCUUUGUAUUCCAUGGAAUUAAAUUCUACUCUUCUCACUUUUAAAGAUAUUGAUUCUUUAUAAAACAAUGC